rnacentral:rRNA from 1 species
GACGAAUGCUGGCUGCGUGCUUAACACAUGCAAGUCGAACGGUGAACCAGGGCUUGCCCUGGGGAUCAGUGGCGAACGGGUGAGUAACACGUGGGCAACCUGCCCCUCACUCUGGGAUAACUCCGGGAAACCGGGGCUAAUACCGGAUACGACCUCAUGCGACAUCUCGUGAGGUGGAAAGAACUUCCGUGAGGGAUGGGCCCGCGGCCUAUCAGCUAGUUGGUGGGGUAACGGCCCACCAAGGCGACGACGGGUAGCCGGCCUGAGAGGGCGACCGGCCACACUGGGACUGAGCAACGGCCCAGACUCCGACGGGAGGCAGCAGUGGGGAAUAUUGCGCAAUGGGCGGAAGCCUGACGCAGCGACGCAGCGUGAGGGAUGAAGGCCUUCGGGUUGUAAACCUCUUUCAGCGGGGACGAAGCGAAAGUGACGGUACCCGCAGAAGAAGCACCGGCUAACUACGUGCCAGCAGCCGCAGUAAAAC